UUCCGGUUGAUCCUGCCGGAAGCCACUGCUAUGGGGGUCCGACUAAGCCAUGCGAGUCAAGGGGGCGUCCCCUCUGGGGGCGCCACCGGCGGACGGCUCAGUAACACGUCGGUAACCUACCCUCGGGAGGGGGAUAACCCCGGGAGACUGGGGCUAUUCCCCCAUAGGCCUGGGGUACUGGAAGGUCCCCAGGCCGAAAGGGAGCCGUAAGGCUCCGCCCGAGGAUGGGCCGGCGGCCGAUUAGGUAGUUGGUGGGGUAACGGCCCACCAAGCCGAAGAUCGGUACGGGCCGUGAGAGCGGGAGCCCGGAGAUGGACACUGAGACACGGGUCCAGGCCCUACGGGGCGCAGCAGGCGCGAAACCUCCGCAAUGCGGGAAACCGCGACGGGGGGACCCCCAGUGCCGUGCCUCUGGCACGGCUUUUCCGGAGUGUAAAAAGCUCCGGGAAUAAGGGCUGGGCAAGGCCGGUGGCAGCCGCCGCGGUAAUACCGGCGGCCCGAGUGGUGGCCACUAUUAUUGGGCCUAAAGCGGCCGUAGCCGGGCCCGUAAGUCCCUGGCGAAAUCCCACGGCUCAACCGUGGGGCUCGCUGGGGAUACUGCGGGCCUUGGGACCGGGAGAGGCCGGGGGUACCCCCGGGGUAGGGGUGAAAUCCUAUAAUCCCGGGGGGACCGCCAGUGGCGAAGGCGCCCGGCUGGAACGGGUCCGACGGUGAGGGCCGAAGGCCAGGGGAGCGAACCGGAUUAGAUACCCGGGUAGUCCUGGCUGUAAAGGAUGCGGCUAAAGGUGGUCGGGCGAGCUUCGAGCUCGCCCGGUGCCGUAGGGAAGCCGUUAAGCCCGCCGCCUGGGGAGUACGGCCGCAAGGCUGAAACUUAAAGGAAUUGGCGGGGGAGCACUACAAGGGGGUGGAGCGUGCGGUUUAAUUGGAUUCAACGCCGGGAACCUCACCGGGGGGCGACGGCAGGAUGAAGGCCAGGCUGAAGGUCUUGCCNGACGCGCCNAGAGGAGGUGCAUGGCCGCCGUCAGCUCGUACCGUGAGGCGUCCACUUAAGUGUGGUAACGAGCGAGACCCGCGCCCCCAGUUGCCAGUCCCUCCCGCUUGGGAGGGAGGCACUCUNGGGGGGACUGCCCGCNAUAACCCGGAAAAAGGGCNGGCCACCGNUAGNUCANUAUGCCCCNAAACCCCCGGGCUACCCCCGCGCUACAUGGGGCGGGNACAUNGGGUGCCCACCCCCAAAAGGGGGAGGUAAUCUCCUAAACCCNCCCCCANUUCGGAUCGCGGGCUGCNACUCCCCCNCGUGANCUNGAAUCCCUAGUACCCGCGCGUCNCAUCGCG
rnacentral:rRNA from 1 species